GAAGUAAUCACGCUAAGUGUAUAUAAUCCCGGACAAGGUUUGGAUUAAGCACCAUAUUGUAAAGUUUAGAUAACUUCAUCACAGUAAAGCAAAAUGCGUACUGCUUAUAUGCUCGUGGUUCUCUGCCUCUUGGCCAGUGUAAUUGUGGCUGACGCAGCAUCGGCUAGGGGCUUUCGGUCAGUCAACGCCUACAAUGGUCUAAAGAAAAAGGACAACGCAGAGUCUAAUGUGGAGAAGAGGAAAACAAAACGUGGCUUCUGGGGAACCCUCGGCACAGUAGCUGCAGUGGCCCUGCUUGGUCGCUGAGAUCAAUAGAUCGAUAACUAAACAGACCCAGCCUUAAACUAGUUUUGACUUUAUGGUAAUUUAUUACCAUAAAAUACGUUAAUGAAAAGUAUAUUUUAUUUUGUCAAGAUGAGAAAUAGAUGUUUUAUGAUUAAAUAAUAAAAGAUCACAAAAAAGGUAA